UGCAAGUCGAACGCUUUUUCUUUCACCGGAGCUUGCUCCACCGAAAGAAAAAGAGUGGCGAACGGGUGAGUAACACGUGGGUAACCUGCCCAUCAGAAGGGGAUAACACUUGGAAACAGGUGCUAAUACCGUAUAACACUAUUUUCCGCAUGGAAGAAAGUUGAAAGGCGCUUUUGCGUCACUGAUGGAUGGACCCGCGGUGCAUUAGCUAGUUGGUGAGGUAACGGCUCACCAAGGCAACGAUGCAUAGCCGACCUGAGAGGGUGAUCGGCCACACUGGGACUGAGACACGGCCCAGACUCCUACGGGAGGCAGCAGUAGGGAAUCUUCGGCAAUGGACGAAAGUCUGACCGAGCAACGCCGCGUGAGUGAAGAAGGUUUUCGGAUCGUAAAACUCUGUUGUUAGAGAAGAACAAGGAUGAGAGUAAAACGUUCAUCCUUUGACGGUAUCUAACCAGAAAGCCACGGCUAACUACGUGCCAGCAGCCGCGGUAAUACGUAGGUGGCAAGCGUUGUCCGGAUUUAUUGGGCGUAAAGCGAGCGCAGGCGGUUUCUUAAGUCUGAUGUGAAAGCCCCCGGCUCACCGGG
rnacentral:rRNA from 1 species